CAAAACAAUUAUUUCUUAACAGAGGCUAUUGCUAAUUCAAUUUAUGUACUAAUUACUGUUAAUUUGACAAAUGAUGCUCAUGAAUCACCUCUUGUGGGCUUUGAAUCUCUUUUCACGAUUCUGUUUGAUGCCAUUGUUAUGAAAUUAAAAAAGCCAAUGCUCUCUUCAAUCAGGGCCAUUAUAUUACCUGUCAGUGUCUGCAUCCCCCUGCUCUCUAGGAAUGUCUGAGUACAAUUUAACGUGUACAGUAAUUCCAAUGUUCACGAUCACACGUAUUGGAUUUCAUGGUCUUAUUUACUACAAAGAUCAGCUGUGGUUGGAUCACGUGCAGCCAGAUGUUCCUUGUGAAGAUUUGAAAAUGUGUGACAUCAUCAAAGGAGAAACGCUUCAUGAAACAGUUCCAAUUUAUAUGAGAAAAUAUCAUGGUCCUAAGGGAGAGUAUCAGAUUUACUUGGAUGUGAACAUUGUCGAUGAUGCUGAAAGAAUGCUGACAUUACGUUUCAACAUCACUAUGCAAAUUAAAAGUACUGAUUGUAAGAAUAACAUUUUUCAACAGCUGGGAGGGCUAUAGGACAAGAAAAUCCUAUUUUUAAUUAGUAAGACAGCAAAGACAAGGAUGCAUUAAUUUAAAAUGUAACAGAUUUCUAUUUCAUAUAGCACAACUUUUUUCAAUGAUGAUAGGAAAGGUUUAAAUAAGAACAGCAAUGAUGCUUCUAUACCUUUCAGCUUUUCUUUGCUAUAAGGUGGCAUUGUCUUCUAUGUCCUCGGCAGAGAACAAGUAUUUUGCUCCUCAGAAAGUGUUAGCAUUUGGUACAGCUACAAUGGUGAGAUCAGUUGUUGUUGUUGUUUAUUUUUUUUGUUCAACAAUUUAAUUAUUCAGUUUAAUCUGUUACCUCAGAACCUCAGGUGCCCACAAAAGAUAAGUGAUACUUGUUAAAAAAAAAUCAAUGGAUAUUUUCUUUCUUUUUUUUAAAAAUAGAUAAUUUAAAAAUAAAGAAAUAAUUUUGCCCAGAGCAAUUCUUUCUUAACCGACUGUCUUGCUAUUUCUUUGAUAUGUAAUUAAAAAGCCAAUGCUCUCUUCAAUCAGGGCCAUUAUAUAGAGGGUAUAAGUUUGAAACUAUUCAAAAAGCUAAGAUGCGUGCGAAAAAUAUGACAAGGGAUAAUUUGUUACAAAGAAAUAUGUACAAAGUAGAAAAUUCUAAUAAGGUCUAUUUUGUAACAAAAUAUAAUAGGAAUGCUGAAAAAAUUAAAUUAUUCGAAAAAAUUGGGGUAUUCUACAAAGUGAUGAAUUGCUGAGAAAUAUAUUUCUAGAUCCUCCAAUGAUUAGUUUUAGAAAAUGUACAACCUUAGGGGACAAAUUAGUACAUAGUUAUUUACCACCCAACCAUGUAAGUUCUUGGUUAGGGAAUAAACCUAAGGGUUGUUUUAAAUGUCAUCACUGUAACCAUGUGAUAAUGUGGUACAAGGUAAAACAUUCUUAGAUGAAAAUACGAAUAAGGUCUAUUGUAUUAGACAUUUUAUUAAGUGUCAAACUACCCAUGUUAUUUAUAGACUAGAAUGUCCUCAGUGUAAGGUGUUUUAUGUUGGAAGAACAAAAAGACGAUUACUGGAUCGACUGGCUGAACACAAAUAUGCCAUCAGGAGGGGUAAUGAUGAAUAUCCUAUGGUAAAACAUUUUAAAUUAAUGCAUAAUAGUAAUCCUUCGAGACUCAACAUCCUUAGAAUACAAGCUAUUGAUCAUAUAAACAUUACUAUUAGGAAAGGCAAUAGAGAACUUAAACUUAAUCAAAGAGAGACAUUUUAGAUUUAUAAAUUAAAGGCCAGUAUGUAUCCAGGAUUAAAUGAGGACUUGGAUUUUACUCAUUUUUUUAUAAAUUGUUUUCUCUCUCUUUGAAGUAGUAUUCUUGAGUAUGAAAAUAUACUGUAUUUUUUUUAGUGUGAAAAUUGCUGUCUUUGUGAAUGUGUAAAGCUAUAGAGAGUUGUUGGUCACAUGACGAGUAUGAUCAGAUGACUUAAUGAGUGACAGUGCUGUCACCAGGCUGUGCUAAGCUUGUUGUUUGCUCUCCCUGAAGAAGGCUUGUGCCGAAACGCGUUGGAGAGUUUUUAGAUUUCUUGGAUGUAGCCAUUUGAUAAAAAAAGGCUUUUUAAUUCACAAGAGUGCCAUGGUCAUUCUAAAGUACUCUUUGAUGGACCAUUAUAUUACCUGUCAGUGUCUGUGUGAUGAGAGGGGCGGGGCCGAGAGCCAUGGGAACGGAGCGAGUCCGGUGGAGUAAAUGCUAAUAAGUUUUGUUUGAACGUUCGCCGGUUCCCGCCUCCUUCUUCCCGAACUACGAACGUUGUUACAGUCUGUAUCCCCCUGCACUGUAUAAGGGACAUUCUACCAGAAAUGUACAUUAUCUGUCCUUGACUUGUUACAGUGAAUAAAAAGUAUUACAUCCAAAAAA
rnacentral:lncRNA from 1 species